UACAGAGGUCUCAAGCGUUGUUUCGGAUUCAUUGGGCGUAAAGGGGUGCGUAGGCGGCGCGGGUAAAGUCGGGGUGUGAAAUCUCGGAGCUUUAACUCCGAAACUGCAUUCGAUACUGCUGUGCUUGAGGACUGGAGAGGAGACUGGGAAAUUCAUGGUGUAGCAGUGAAAUGCGUAGAGAUCAUGAGGGAAGACCAGUGGCGAAGGCGGGUCUCUGGACAGUUCCUGACACUGAGGCACGAAGGCCAGGGAGCAAACGGG
rnacentral:rRNA from 1 species